GCAUCAGGAAGAAAGCUUGCUUUCUUUGCUGGCGACCGGCGCACGGGUGAGUAACACGUAUCCAACCUGCCCUUUACUCGGGGAUAGCCUUUCGAAAGAAAGAUUAAUACCCGAUAGUAUAAUGAUUCCGCAUGGUUUCAUUAUUAAAGGAUUCCGGUAAAGGAUGGGGAUGCGUUCCAUUAGGUUGUUGGUGAGGUAACGGCUCACCAAGCCUUCGAUGGAUAGGGGUUCUGAGAGGAAGGUCCCCCACAUUGGAACUGAGACACGGUCCAAACUCCUACGGGAGGCAGCAGUGAGGAAUAUUGGUCAAUGGGCGGUAGCCUGAACCAGCCAAGUAGCGUGAAGGAUGACUGCCCUAUGGGUUGUAAACUUCUUUUAUAAAGGAAUAAAGUCGGGUAUGCAUACCCGUUUGCAUGUACUUUAUGAAUAAGGAUCGGCUAACUCCGUGCCAGCAGCCGCGGUAAUACGGAGGAUCCGAGCGUUAUCCGGAUUUAUUGGGUUUAAAGGGAGCGUAGAUGGAUGUUUAAGUCAGUUGUGAAAGUUUGCGGCUCAACCGUAAAAUUGCAGUUGAUACUGGAUGUCUUGAGUGCAGUUGAG
rnacentral:rRNA from 1 species